rnacentral:rRNA from 1 species
CAGAGGGUGCAAGCGUUAAUCGGAAUUACUGGGCGUAAAGCGCGCGUAGGUGGUUUGUUAAGUUGGAUGUGAAAUCCCCGGGCGUCAACCUAGGGAACGUGCAUUCAAAACUAGACUGACUAGAGUAUGGUAGAGGGUGGUGGAAUUUCCUGUGUAGCGGUGAAAUAGCGUAGAUAUAGGAAGGAACACCAGUGGCGAAGGCGACCACCUGGACUAAUACUGACACUGAGGUGCGAAAGACGUGGGGGAGACAAACAGGAUU